rnacentral:tRNA from 1 species
GGCUCAGUAGCUCAGUGGUAGAGCGGGGGAUUCAUAAGCCCUAGGUCGCAGGUCCAAUUCCUGCCUGAGCCA